UAUGUGAUCGUCUCUCGCAUAUCAAUAAGCGGAGGAAAAGAAACUAACAAGGAUUCCCCUAGUAACGGCGAGUGAAGCGGGAAGAGCUCAAAUUUGAAAUCUUAAAGGGUUUCCCUUUACGAAUUGUAGUUUAAAGAAGUGUUUUCUGUUGAGGUUUUGGUAAAAGUUCUUUGGAAUAGGACAUCAUAGAGGGUGAGAAUCCCGUAUUUGACCUUUACUUUCAACUUUGUGAUACACUUUCAAAGAGUCGGAUUGUUUGGGAAUGCAGUCCAAAAUGGGUGGUAAAUUUCAUCUAAAGCUAAAUAUUGGCGAGAGACCGAUAGCGAACAAGUACCGUGAGGGAAAGAUGAAAAGAACUUUGAAAAGAGAGUUAAACAGUACGUGAAAUUGUCAAAAGGGAAGCGUUUGACACCAGUGUUGUUUUUCUGAAAAUCAAUUAAAGAACUGUUUAUGCUAAGCUGUUUAGACUUUAUCAGCUAAUCUGUUUAGUUUUGAGCUUUUCUUUAAUGCACUUUUCAGUUAACAAGUCAACAUCAAUUUCUUUUGCUGUAAAAAAGCUUGAGGAAGGUGGCUUGAGAUUCGUCUUAAGUGUUUAUAGCCUCUUGCCUAUGCAGUCGGAGAGAUUGAGGUCUGCAGCGUAGAUCCCUCGGGGCUAAAUGCAUUUGUGCUAAGUUAUAGCAUUUUAUAGACAACUUGUUGACUAUGAUUUGUCUUGUAGCUUACUCGCUUAUGUUAUUUUACCUACGCUUAGGAUGUUGAGUAGCGACAUACGCA
rnacentral:rRNA from 1 species